rnacentral:lncRNA from 1 species
GGGGUGGCUUCCUACUCACGGUCACACAGCCGGUGAGUCACAAAGCUGGGUUCUCAGCCCCUCUCUUUGGCUUGGGCCCAGUCAUGAGACAGCUGUGGGAGCCCCGCAUACAACAGGCUCCCGUGGAGGGAGAACCCAAGGCACCCGACAAGGUGGGCGUAUUGAAGAGAAGAAACCAGGGGCCAGAACCGACUCAAGCCUCCGUCCUGAGAGCAGCACCCUGGAGUGGAAUCCCACGGGCCUGCAAGAGACAAGCCGGGCCGUGCUUCCUGCCAGCACCUGGCCUGCUGCAGCCCACCUUUCUGUCCACCUGCGGGGCUCGACUCCACCACAGCCACCUCCUCCAGGAAGUCUGCCCAGAUCCCCCCUCCCCUGCUGGUGUCCCAGUAAGCUCCUGCUGUUUACCUGCCCAUCUCCCCUGCUGGCCCACAACUCUCGGUGUUUUAUCUCCAUUUCCCUUUGGCUGCACCCAGGAGAUGUGACUUCGAACUAAGUCUCCCCAGGCUCAAUGUCCCU